UUGUUCAACGGCCAGUCGUCUGGAAGCGGAGCCGUCAUGUCGCCGCAGUUCACGGACGAGGAGUUUCAGGGCGCGUGGCGGGAGCUGGACGAGCCGCAGCUGGACGGAGGAUGGGAGAUGUUCGUGGAGACGAUGGGAGUGAAGAUCUACCGGCUCUACGACAAGGAAACGCGCCUGUACGAGUACAAAGUCUUCGGCGUGCUCGCCACCUGCAGCGCGGAGCUGUGUGCAGACGUCUACAUGGACCUGGCCUACCGGAAGCACUGGGACACGUACGUGAAAGAGCUCUAUGAAACAGACUUCAGUGGCCAGACGGCGAUCUACUGGCAAGUGAAGUACCCGUUCCCUCUGUCCAACAGAGACUACGUGUACGUGAGGGAGCGCCGCGACCUGCAGGUGGGCGGCAGGACGGUCCGCGUGGUGCUGGCCAGGAGCGCGCCGGAGCUGCCGUGUGCCGAGAGCGGCGGCGUGCUGCGGGUCAAAGACUACAAGCAGAGCGUCGCCAUGGAGAGCGAUGGGGGCUCUGGGACCAAAGUUUUCAUGAAUUACUUCGACAACCCCGGUGGCAAUAUUCCGACCUGGCUGGUGAACUGGGCCGCGGGGGUGAGUCCUCGAUGUUUUACUGGAUUUAUGGACCGUAGAAAGGAAAAGGGGUUUGGUGGCUGAAUAUUUCUCAACAAACUUUUUGUAUUUAUGUUAUUGGAACGGCUGCCGCUGGAGAUUGUGAUUCUUUAGCUACGGGUCAAUUUAAUUUCCUGAUUUUGUGCCUCCUCGAUUCCUUUCCUCGCCUCCCUUUGUGUCUUAUCGUGGAGAUGCGGGCGGAGAAUAUUUAUCACCAUCUUCUGGAGCGUUGAUGGACAGGAAGAGAGAAACGAGCUUCUCAAUGUCGUUGAAAGUGUGUAUUUACAGAUCUGCAGCACACUUUGGGCCCGGCGCGGUCCUGGGAGAAACCGGGUCGACAAAGACCCUCCAGACGGAUUAUAUAAAGAUAAUCACUGAGAUUAAAAUGCAAUAACAGCUGGAAAUAUUUCACUGACAUGUGCAAGUCGUAAAGAACCCCCCCCCCCUCCACCCUCCCCCCCCUCCCCCCUCCAGUGCACAUGUUGGGUCCGCCCAACCCAACCUGUUGACGAGGCAUUUUAAAGACGGGUUCGCCCUCUUAUAGCUCCGCCCCCUCCGCCUGCGUCACGGUCCUCCAUCGUUAUUGUCUGCAGAUGUGAUGUGUUGCCUGGGUGACGUCAAUGUGUGUGUGUGUGUGUGUGUGUUGUCAACAGACCGGGGUCCCAGACUUCUUGAACAACAUGCAGAAGGCCUGCAGCAAAUAUGGCGACUACAAGAAGAAGUGAAGGCCCCCCCCCCACCCGGACCCUCGUGCUGUACAGGGUCAACGUGACCUCUGACCUCUGAAUGUGGCGGCGACAUCAACUCUGUUCUCUCUUUUUCUUUGUCGGGUGCAAUCGCUGAGCGUCAGGGUUCAGGAGCUUCAUGGAUUUAAAACACUGACGUGUUCUUACUUUGGGUUCAGUGGUUUAAGUGCAGCUCCGUGACUCGGAGUUUAUAGUUUAACUUGUUUUUAAAUUAGUUUAAUUUACGUGUUCAAAGCCCUGAGAAGUUAACUUGAAGAAACCUGUGGAUCGGGUCUACGACCAGGACCUGGUCUAACCCUACACCCAGGACCUGGUCUAACCCUACACCCAGGACCUGGUCUCACCCUACACCCAGGACCUGGUCUCACCCUACACCCAGGACCUGGUCUAACCCUACACCCAGGACCUGGUCUAACCCUACACCCAGGACCUGGUCUCACCCUACACCCAGGACCUGGUCUAACCCUACACCCAGGACCUGGUCUCACCUGACACCCAGGACCUGGUCUCACCCUACACCCAGGACCUGGUCUAACCCUACACCCAGGACCUGGUCUCACCUGACACCCAUGACCUGGUCUAACCCUACACCCAGGACCUGGUCUAACCCUACACCCAGGACCUGGUCUCACCUGACACCCAGGACCUGGUCUAACCCUACACCCAGGACCUGGUCUAACCCUACACCCAGGACCUGGUCUAACCCUACACCCAGGACCUGGUCUCACCCUACACCCAGGACCUGGUCUAACCCUACACCCAGGACCUGGUCUCACCCUACACCCAGGACCUGGUCUAACCCUACACCCAGGACUUGGUCUAACCCUACACCCAGGACCUGGUCUAACCCUACACCCAGGACCUGAUCUCACCCUACACCCAGGACCUGGUCUAACCCUACACCCAGGACCUGGUCUAACCCUACACCCAGGACCUGGUCUAACCCUACACCCAGGACCUGGUCUCACCUGACACCCAGGACCUGGUCUAACCCUACACCCAGGACCUGGUCUCACCCUACACCCAGGACCUGGUCUAACCCUACACCCAGGACCUGGUCUAACCCUACACCCAGGACCUGGUCUCACCUGACACCCAGGACCUGGUCUAACCCUACACCCAGGACCCGGUCUCACCUGACACCCAGGACCUGGUCUAACCCUACACCCAGGACCUGGUCUAAAAAACCUUUAAAUAUAAACAGAUUAGCACUUAAAUGGCACUUACUCUUAGUAUUACUUGUGGUAUUACUCAUAGUAUUACUUGUGGUAUUACUCAUAGUAUUACUCGUGGUAUUACUCAUAGUAUUACUCAUAGUAUUACUUGUGGUAUUACUCAUAGUAUUACUCAUAGUAUUACUUGUGGUAUUACUCAUAGUAUUACUUGUGGUAUUACUCAUAGUAUUACUCAUGGUAUUUCUCAUAGUAUUACUCAUAGUAUUACUUGUGGUAUUACUUAUAGUAUUACUCAUAGUAUUACUUGUGGUAUUACUCAUAGUAUUACUCAUAGUAUUACUUGUGGUAUUACUCAUAGUAUUACUUGUGGUAUUACUCAUAGUAUUUCUCAUAGUAUUACUUGUGGUAUUACUCAUAGUAUUACUCAUAGUAUUACUCAUAGUAUUACUUGUAGUUUUCUUGAAGUCCCUUUCUUGAUUCUCGUUAUUGGUUUAAUGAAUUAAUUGUAAGUCGCUUUGGAUAAAAAGCGUCCUCUAAAUUAUUUACCAUGUAAAAGAACAAAGUAUAUUCAUAAGUCAGAUUUUUACUAAAUUAUUUCCUGUGUUUAUGAUUUUUAGAGAACGGGUAAAAAAAAAAGUCCUCAAUAUAAAUAUAUAUAUUUCUUUUCCUCUAUGAAUAUGUUGGUUUGUCAGCUGCAUUUUAAAUGUUUGUUUUUGUAAUACCAAUUUUGGCCACAAGGGUUAAAAGGAAAAAUGCAUGAGCAUCUUGAAAAAAUUAUCAGAAAUUAUAUCACCUGGAAGAAAACGUUCAUGUUUUUCGUGAGUUAGAGGUGCGCUUCAGCCUCUUGUGGCCAAAAUGAGUACUACAACAACAACACAUAUAUUUAAGCGGAUGGAAAAUAAGUUUAAAUAAGUGUCUCCCUCUGUUACUGUGGAUUUACUUGCAGGAACUUGGAGAGAUUAUUCUGAUUAUCCUGACGAGCUUCUCGUGAUUUAUUUUCAUGCGUUCGUUCCUUAAGCAAAGAUCAUGUUAUAAUCCUUGUGCUGAUUUAUGGGCACAAAUCAAAGAUCCACUUUAUCUGAGUCAUGUGUUGAUUCAGGCUGUAGCUCAGGUGCUCCUGCUGAUUCCGGUGAAUGUGAUUUAAUCUGGUCACAAAAAGCCUAUUACUAUGUAAUAAUGCUGCAUUAUUGAAAUGAAUAAAAGUUUAAAUUUAA